GUGCUCGCUUCAGCAGCACAUAUACUAAAACUAGAACUAUACAGAGAAGAUUAGCAUGGCCCCUUCACAAGGAUGACACGCAAAUUCAUGAAACCUUCCAUAUUUUU
rnacentral:snRNA from 1 species